AAGGUUCCAGGCCCUAAGGGGCGCAGGAGGCGCGAAACCUCCGCAAUGUGAGAAAUCGCGACGGGGGGACCCCAAGUGCCAUUCUUAACGGGAUGGCUUUUCUUAAGUGUAAAAAGCUUUUGGAAUAAGAGCUGGGCAAGACCGGUGCCAGCCGCCGCGGUAACACCGGCAGCUCUAGUGGUGGCCAGUUUUAUUGGGCCUAAA
rnacentral:rRNA from 1 species